rnacentral:rRNA from 1 species
CGAGCGGAACGAGUUAUCUGAACCUUCGGGGAACGAUAACGGCGUCGAGCGGCGGACGGGUGAGUAAUGCCUAGGAAAUUGCCCUGAUGUGGGGGAUAACCAUUGGAAACGAUGGCUAAUACCGCAUAACGCCUACGGGCCAAAGAGGGGGACCUUCGGGCCUCUCGCGUCAGGAUAUGCCUAGGUGGGAUUAGCUAGUUGGUGAGGUAAGGGCUCACCAAGGCGACGAUCCCUAGCUGGUCUGAGAGGAUGAUCAGCCACACUGGAACUGAGACACGGUCCAGACUCCUACGGGAGGCAGCAGUGGGGAAUAUUGCACAAUGGGCGCAAGCCUGAUGCAGCCAUGCCGCGUGUGUGAAGAAGGCCUUCGGGUUGUAAAGCACUUUCAGUCGUGAGGAAGGUAGUGCAGUUAAUAGCUGCAUUAUUUGACGUUAGCGACAGAAGAAGCACCGGCUAACUCCGUGCCAGCAGCCGCGGUAAUACGGAGGGUGCGAGCGUUAAUCGGAAUUACUGGGCGUAAAGCGCAUGCAGGUGGUUUGUUAAGUCAGAUGUGAAAGCCCGGGGCUCAACCUCGGAAUUGCAUUUGAAACUGGCAGACUAGAGUACUGUAGAGGGGGGGUAGAAUUUCAGGUGUAGCGGUGAAAUGCGUAGAGAUCUGAAGGGAAUACCGGUGGCGAAGGCGGCCCCCUGGACAGAUACUGACACUCA